GGUAACGCGGGGAGAAGCUUGCUUCUCCCCGGCGACGAGUGGCGAACGGGUGAGUAAUACAUCGGAACGUGUCCGCUCGUGGGGGACAACCAGCCGAAAGGUUGGCUAAUACCGCAUGAGUUCUACGGAAGAAAGAGGGGGACCCGCAAGGGCCUCUCGCGAGCGGAGCGGCCGAUGACUGAUUAGCCGGUUGGUGAGGUAACGGCUCACCAAAGCAACGAUCAGUAGCUGGUCUGAGAGGACGACCAGCCACACUAGGACUGAGACACGGCCCAGACUCCUACGGGAGGCAGCAGUGGGGAAUUUUGGACAAUGGGCGCAAGCCUGAUCCAGCUAUUCCGCGUGUGGGAUGAAGGCCCUCGGGUUGUAAACCACUUUUGUAGAGAACGAAAAGACACCUUCGAAUAAAGGGUGUUGCUGACGGUACUCUAAGAAUAAGCACCGGCUAACUACGUGCCAGCAGCCGCGGUAAUACGUAGGGUGCGAGCGUUAAUCGGAAUUACUGGGCGUAAAGGGUGCGCAGGCGGUUGAGUAAGACAGAUGUGAAAUCCCCGAGCUUAACUCGGGAAUGGCAUAUGUGACUGCUCGGCUAGAGUGUGUCAGAGGGAGGUGGAAUUCCACGUGUAGCAGUGAAAUGCGUAGAUAUGUGGAAGAACACCGAUGGCGAAGGCAGCCUCC
rnacentral:rRNA from 1 species